UUAAGCUACUAAGGGCACAUGAAGGAUGCCUUGGCACGAUCAGGCGAUGAAGGACGUGGUAAGCUGCGAAAAGCUUCGGGGAACUGCACACGAGUUUUGAUCCGGAGAUAUCCGAAUGGGGAAACCCAGUGGAAGUAAUGUUCCACUAUCCCGUACUGAAUCCAUAGGUGCGGGAAGCGAGACGCGGGGAAGUGAAACAUCUCAGUACCCGCAGGAGAAGAAAUCAACCGAGAUUCCGCAAGUAGUGGCGAGCGAACGCGGAGAAGGCUAAACCGUCCGGUUUACCGGGCGGGGUUGCGGGACUUCGAUACGGCAAGACCAGUCGAUAGCGGAAGCUGUUGGAAAGCAGCGGCAUAGAAGGUGAUACCCCUGUAUGCGAAAUUGACUGUAAGCCCAGAAGAAUCCCAAGUAGGUCGGAACACGUGAAACUCUGACUGAAUCCGGGGGGCCCACCCUCCAAGCCUGAAUACUCGAUCGUGACCGAUAGCGCAUAGUACCGCGAGGGAAAGGUGAAAAAGUACCCCGGAAGGGGAGUGAAAAGUAUCUGAAAUCAUGUGUCUACAAAGUGUCGGAGCGAAAGCGACGGCAUGCCUUUUGCAUAAUGAGCCUGCGACUUACUCUAACGAGCGAGGUUAAGCCGAGUGCGGAGCCGAAGCGAAAGCGAGUGUGAAUAGCGCGUCUAGUUCGUUGGAGUAGACCCGAAGCUGAGUGAUCUAUCCAUGGCCAGGUUGAACCUGCAGUAACAUGCAGCGGAGGACCGAACCAGUUCAUGUUGAAAAAUGUUUGGAUGAGCUGUGGAUAGGGGUGAAAGGCCAAUCAAACUCAGUGAUAGCUGGUUCUCUUCGAAAUAGCUUUAGGGCUAGCCUUGCGUAAAUAGUUUGUGGGGGUAGAGCUACUGAUUGUUCGCGGGCCCUUACCGGGGUACCAAGAACUAUUAAACUCCGAAUACCAUGAACCGUACCGCAGGAGUCAGACUAUGGGGGAUAAGCUUCAUGGUCGAGAGGGAGACAGCCCAGACCGCCGGCUAAGGUCCCCAAUCCGGACUUAGUGGUUUGAAGGAUGUGAUGUUGCAUAAACAGCCAGGAUGUUGGCUUAGAGGCAGCCAUCAUUUAAAGAGUGCGUAAUAGCUCACUGGUCGAGUGAUAUCGCGCCGAAGAUGAUCGGGACUGAAGUCCAGAACCGAAGCCGCGGAUCGUGAAUUUAUUCACGGUGGUAGAAGAGCGUUGUAUGCGGGUCGAAGCCGAAGAGGGAUCUGAGGUGGACUGCAUACAAGUGACCAUGCAGGCAUGAGUAGCGAAAAACCGGAUGAGAAUUCCGGUCACCGAAAACCUAAGGUUUCCCGGGGAAGGUUCGUCCGCCCGGGGUUAGUCGGAACCUAAGGCGAGGCCGAAAGGCGUAGUCGAUGGAGGACAGGUUAAUAUUCCUGUACCACCUUGUUGGAGUGAUGGAGGGACGCAGUAAGUCAGGUGAGCCAACUGCUGAAUAUGUUGGUCGAAGGCCGUAGGGCGCACGAUAGGCAAAUCCGUCGUGCUUUCAACCCGAGAGUCGUAAGGUAGCCGAACGCAAGUUCGGCGAAUUCACUGUGACGACGCUGACGAGAAAAGCUUCUAAACGUUGAAAACAGGGUGUCCGUACCGAAACCGACACAGGUAGGUGAGGCGAGUAGCCUAAGGUGCGCGAGAGAAACCAACGUUAAGGAACUCGGCAAAUUGACCCCGUAACUUAGGGAUAAGGGGUGCCGCUUCAGGUGAAGGGACUUGCUCCCGGAGCCCGGAGCGGUUGCAACAAAGAGGCUGGUGCGACUGUUUAACAAAAACACAGCUCUAUGCUAACUCGCAAGAGGAUGUAUAUGGAGUGACACGUGACCAAUGCCAAAAGGUCAAUGGGAGAGGUUAGCGCAAGCGAAGCUUCGAUCUGAAGCCCUGGUGAAUGUCGGCCGUAACUAUAACGGUCCUAAGGUAGCGAAAUUCCUUGUCGGG
rnacentral:rRNA from 1 species